GGGAGCGCACAGUUGCUGCGAGUUUUGUAGGGUUCGAUAGUGGAGUGGUGGUGGCGAAGGGAGUGGUGGUGGCGGCCUGCUUUUAAUUGGUGGCAGAAAGGGUUGGUGGACCGGGAGGAAGGAAAUUAAGAAGAGAGAGAGAAGGGAGAGUGAGUUUGGACUUUGGAGGGAUCGGUGGUUUUGUUAUUGAUUUUUUUGUUCUGUUUUUGGAUGCCUCGAUGACCACAAGAUGACGCCUUUUUGAUCUGCUCUUCUUCUUCUUCUUCGUCGUCGUCGGAAGGUUUUCCGUCGGAUCUCUGUUCUUUUUAGAUCUGCUUGAGGUUUUUUAAUGGAGAUCUCUGCGAUUAUUAGGGUUGCGGUGCUUCUGGUGUGAAAAAGCUUUGUGCUUUCUUUUUCCCUCACGAUUUGCCCUCUUUUGGUGCUGUGGAAAUUAGGGUUUCGGACUGUGUGAUGGCCAUCUAGGGAAGGGGUUGGAUGAGCAGCAUACAUGCAUCUCUCUCUAUGGAAACCCAUUUCUCACUGCGCCGCCCUCAUCCUCGACAAGAAGAACCGGUGGAGAGGCGGCGGCGUAGCGGAAGAUGGCAGCGGGCGGCAGCGGCGACCGUCGGCGAUCCGGAAACUUCAGGAGAGCAAGCUCCGGGAAGCCCUAGAGGAGGCUUCCGAGGAUGGGUCGCUGUCCAAGUCCCAGGUCAUGGACGCCUACGAGGUCUUCGGUAACCCUGACGAGGGCUCCAUCAGCCGCUCCAGGUCCCUCGCCCGCCUCCGCGCGCAGCAAGAGUUCCUCCGCGCCACCGCCCUCGCCGCCGAGCGCGUCUUCCUCUCCGCCGACUCCAUCCCCGCCCUGGACGACGCCUUCGCCAAGUUCCUCACCAUGUACCCCAAGUACCAGUCCUCCAACCGGAUUGACGAGCUCCGGCGCGAGGAGUACUGCCACCUCGCCGACUCCGGCGCCCGGGUCUGCCUAGACUACUGCGGCUUCGGCCUCUUCUCCUACCUUCAGAGCUUCCAGAGCUGGGAGUCCUCCGCAUUCAACCUCUCUGAGAUCACCGCCAAUUUGAGCAACCAUGCUCUGUACGGCGGCGCCGAGAAAGGCACGGUGGAGCACGACAUCAAGACCAAGAUCAUAGACUACCUCAACAUCCCUGAGAACGAAUAUGGCCUUGUGUUUACCUUCAGCAGAGGUUCUGCCUUCAAAUUGCUGGCUGAAACCUACCCGUUCCGCACCAACAAGAAGCUGUUGACAAUGUUCGACCAUGAGAGCCAGUCAGUGAAUUGGAUGGCCCAGUGUGCCAGGGAGAAGGGCGCCAAGGUCCAUAGCGCAUCAUUCAAGUGGCCAACCCUCAAGCUCUGCUCCACCGAGCUGAGGAAGCAGAUCUCCGGCAAGAGGAGGCGGAGGAAGGACUCUGCGGUCGGGCUCUUUGUGUUCCCGGCCCAAUCUAGAGUCACCGGAGCUAAAUACUCGUACCAGUGGAUGGCACUCGCGCAGCAGCAUAAUUGGCAUGUGCUGCUUGAUGCAGGAUCAUUGGGACCGAAGGACAUGGAUUCACUCGGUCUUUCUCUUUUCCGGCCUGACUUCAUCAUCACCUCGUUCUAUCGAGUGUUUGGGUUUGAUCCGACUGGCUUCGGGUGCCUCUUGAUUAAGAAAUCUGUGUUGGCAAGCUUGCAGAAUCAGAAUGGCAGUACUGGAAGUGGAAUGGUGAGGGUUGUUCCUGUGUUUCCUCAGUAUUUGAGUGAUUCUAUUGAUGGUCUCGAUGCCUUGGAUGGAAUUGAAGAUAAUACAGUUAAUGAAAAAGCUGAAUCUUCGAUGUCCGAUGCUCAGAAAGGUGCCCAGUUACCUGCAUUCUCUGGUGCAUUUACAUCUGCUCAAGUGAGAGAUGUGAUCGAGAGUGAGAUGGACCAAGAUAACAGCUCCGACCGAGAUGGGGCAAGUACAAUCUUUGAGGAGACGGAGAGCAUUUCUGUUGGGGAGGUGAUGAAAAGCCCAGUUUUUAGUGAAGAUGAUUCGUCCGACAACUCCUUCUGGAUUGAUUUGGGUCAGAGUCCAGUUGUGACCGAUCAUUCAGGGCUGUCGAACAAGGGGAAGUUAGGGUCUCCGCUACCGCCUUCAUGGUUUAGCAGAAAGAAGAACAACAAGAAGGUAUCACCAAAUUUUGGCUCCAGGGCACCAAGAAGCCCCCUUAGCAACGAUCAUGGAUUAUCUUUUGAUGCUGCUGUAUUGUCAGUCUCGCAAGAACAAGAUCGUGCAGAGGCAUCGGAGAUUUGGCGAAAAUAUGCAAUCCCUGAACAUGUAAAUGAGAUUGGGGAAGAACUGAAAGAUAAGGAAGCGGAUGGCAAACGAGCUGUGACUCAUGAGAAUGGCUUGACUUCUGACAUAUGUUCUGCGAGCCAUGUUGAAGUGAAUGAGAGUGCCAUAAGAAGGGAAACCGAAGGGGAGUUCCGAUUGUUAGGUAGGAGGGAAGGAAAUAAUAACCGGUUUGCUAGUAGUAAAUUCCUGGGGAUACAAGAGAACGACAGAAUCACAAGCAUGGAUCGCAAGGUUUCUUUCAGCAUGGAAGACAACAGAAUUGCAGAAAUUUUUUGUGGUAAUUCUGAGUUGUGUGAAGUGUCUGGACGCGCACUCGCUGGUAGUGAUGAUGAAGACGAUGCUACUCACGGUGAUGAGGAUGGUAGUGUUCAGGGGUCGUGCAGGUUGGAACCUGAGAUGGUUUGCAGAAACAUUGAUCAUGUGGAUAUGAUGGGCCUGAAUAAAACAACAUUACGACUACGCUACCUGAUCAACUGGCUUGUGACAUCGUUGUUGCAGUUGCGAUUACCAGAUCCGGCUGGGGGAAAUGGUAGCUCUCUUGUUCAGAUAUAUGGUCCAAAGAUUAAAUACGAAAGGGGUGCUGCUGUUGCGUUCAACGUGAAGGAUCAGAGUGGCACGGUGAUCAAACCUGAAAUUGUUCAAAAGCUGGCUGAGGAAAAUGGCAUCUCUCUCGGUAUCGGGUUUCUGAGCCAUAUAAGGCUCUUGGACAAUCAGAAACCUUUACCCGGAGAACUUCUAGCUGAUCCUGCGAAUACUGGUCAUGAGAGCAAGAGCAAAACUAAGAAUGCUGUCGUUCGGGUGGAGGUCGUUACCGCUUCUCUAGGGUUCCUCACAAACUUUGAGGAUGUAUACAAGCUAUGGGCGUUUGUGGCCAAGUUCCUGGAUUCUGCCUUCCUUAAGAAUGGCAGAUUAUCCACCAUUUCAGAGAUUCCAGAAACAUGAGAUUGGCGCACAGUCAGAAACCUCUCUUCCCUGCUCAGCCAAAACAGCAAUCAUGGAACUCUCAAGUUUGUUCGGGGUAUGGCGGGGUACGGUACCAUCGACCGAGCUCUCCCUGUCCAAUGGAGCUACUGUGUGUGUUCCAUCCAGAUCUCUAUUGCAUCUUGUCUGAAACUAUGGAUUUCAACUUUCUGAUCCGUUUGAUUUGGCUGGCUGGCUGCUAAACAAGUAACAAGUUCAACCAUCAUCAAACUUAUUGAUGAUCUUAAUCUCACAGGCCUUUUGAGAUCAAUUAUUGGUGGCCUAGUCAUUUGACUCAGCAACCAUAUCAUUUCUGACAGUAUCAUAUCUAUUAAACAUUAUCAUUGCUAGAGAGGAAGAAUUAGCGAGAGAUCGUGUGUGUGGUAAGUUUUGUUGCUAAAUCAGUAAGACAGGUAAUAGAUAUUCAUAUAUUUCAUGUAUAAUUCCUGCAAUAAUGCAAUUUGGGAGGGAGGGCAUGGACA